UACGUAGGGGGCAAGCGUUGUCCGGAAUUAUUGGGCGUAAAGAGCGCGUAGGCGGUCCGAUAAGUCGGCUGUGAAAGUCAAGGGCUCAACCCGGAGACGCCACCCGAUACUGUCGUGACUGGAGUCCGGUAGGGGAGUGGGGAAUUCCUGGUGUAGCGGUGAAAUGCGCAGAUAUCAGGAGGAACACCGGUGGCGAAGGCGCCACUCUGGGCCGGUACUGACGCUGAGGAGCGAAAGCGUGGGUAGCAAACAGG
rnacentral:rRNA from 1 species